CACAAUGGGCGAAAGCCUGAUGCAGCGACGCCGCGUGAGGGAUGACGGCCUUCGGUUGUAACCUCUUUCAGCAGGGAAGAAGCGAAAGUGACGGUACCUGCAGAAGAAGCACCGGCUAACUACGUGCCAGCAGCCGCGGUAAUACGUAGGGUGCGAGCGUUGUCCGGAAUUAUUGGGCGUAAAGAGCUUGUAGGCGGUUUGUCGCGUCGGAAGUGUAAUCUUGGGGCUUAACCCUGAGCGUGCUUUCGGUACGGGUAGUCGUAGGAGG
rnacentral:rRNA from 1 species